rnacentral:rRNA from 1 species
AGUGAACGCUGGCGGUAGGCCUAACACAUGCAAGUCGAACGGCAGCACAGUAAGAGCUUGCCCUUACGGGUGGCGAGUGGCGGACGGGUGAGGAAUACAUCGGAAUCUACUUUUUCGUGGGGGAUAACGUAGGGAAACUUACGCUAAUACCGCAUACGACCUACGGGUGAAAGCAGGGGAUCUUCGGACCUUUCGCGAUUGAAUGAGCCGAUGUCGGAUUAGCUAGUUGGCGGGGUAAAGGCCCACCAAGGCGACGAUCCGUAGCUGGUCUGAGAGGAUGAUCAGCCACACUGGAACUGAGACACGGUCCAGACUCCUACGGGAGGCAGCAGUAGGGAAUAUUGGACAAUGGGCGAAAGCCUGACCCAGCAAUGCCGCGUGAGUGAAGAAGGUCUUCGGAUCGUAAAGCCCUUUUAUUGGGAAAGAACAGCAGUGGGUUAAUCCCCCGCUGUUCUGACGGUACCCAAUGAGUAAGCACCGGCUAACUACGUG